rnacentral:lncRNA from 1 species
CGGAAUACUAUAUAGAUGUUUAAAAAGUGAGACAGCCCUCUAUGUACUGACAUGGUAUCCCCAGAACACUGAUUCUCCUCCUCAAGCUGCCUGCAUUCCAGAAUCUGAGACCAGAUUUCCUUGGAUGGAAGAGUAAGGCCAGACUUUGGGAAUUUCUAAUUUUCCUACUGGGAGUGGUGGCUCAUGCCUGUAAUCCUGGCACUUCGGGAAGCUGAGGUGGAAGAAUCACUUCAAAUCAGGAGACCAGCGUGGCCAACAUGGUGAAACCUCAUCUCUAUGAUAAAUACAAAAUUAUCUUGGCGUGGUGAUGCAUACCUGUAGUCCCAGCUACUUGGGAAGCUGAGGCAGAAGAAUCGUUUGAACCA